UACCUGAUUAAUCCCUCAGUAGCACAUGCCUAUCUCUAAAGUCGAUCCACAGGCAUCGUAGCACUUGUGGCCUGGUGUGGUCAUGUGCCAUAUGGCUUUGAGUGCUUAUUCUGCUCAUACCUGGAUAAUUCUGAUAAUCGUGGAACUAAUCGAUGCCCAUAGGCACCAGCAUCUCUGGUGAUUCUAGAUGACCCAGAUUGGUCGCCUGUCUCUUGGACCUGUCAACUACUUUAGGUAGAAGUCCCAGUGCCUUUAGUGGCGACCAUCACGACCAGGAAUCCAGACUUGGUGCCAUAAAUGUAGCUUGAUGGUCAAAUACCCCAACCAAGAAAGACCACAGAUGCACAGAUGACCUGCUUGCGACCAGGGAGAGCAGUGAUGAAAAACAACACUGGUCUCUUUUGAGGUCCUGUAGUUGGAAUGAGUCCAUUUUAAAUCCUUUGAGGAGGAUCCGUCGCAGGGCAAGUCUGGUGCUGGCAGCUGCAGUAAUCCCAGCUUCAGUGCAGAUACCAAAUUCGGUGUACUUAAAAUGUUCGUGUGAUAUUGGAUCUCCUGCUUCCCUGUGGGUCUACCGCAGGGUCCUUGCAGGUCCCCACCCCCUGCCUCUAGUGAGCUCUUGGCUCUUAGCCUAGUUUCCCUAGGCUGAAGUGUAUGUUUGGAGAAAACUAGAGUACUCAAAGCAGACUUGAGCUGCCAGGAUACGGCCCCGGGAAUCAUGGAAUUCUAGUGUGGUUCUAUUUUGUUUGCGUCAGAAGUUUGCAGAGGCUGAUUGGGCAGAAUUGUUGGGACAUUCAUAUUGUCGCAAGAGCCCAAAGUCUUAGAAUGGUGCAAGACGGACCAGAGUGAAAACUUUCGCCAAAGAUGUUUUCGUUAAUCAAGGUUGAAGGUGAAAGUGGGAGGUUUGAAGAGGCUUUGGAUCCGAGUACCCAGUGCAGUUCUGGCUGUAAACAGAUGCACAUCGCCAGCAUUGUUCUCAUGACCCCACAGGCUGCUUCCGGGAAGCCAAAGUCCUUUGAGUGGUGGUAGCUGGAGGGUGUGGUUCCGAAGCUGAGGCUGAAAGGCACAACCCUGGAGUGUGUGCUUGAUUUGACUCAACCUGGACAACCCCUCCGGGCUCCUGUGCAGACAGAAUCGGCACGGCAAAAGCUCUUCCACGGGUGGUGGUAUAUGCCCUUUCUGUGUUGGCAGUGAUUUGUCUGGCUUAUUGAUAACCAGGGGUAUUAGCGUGCUGAACAGUUAGCCAGCCUGAGUCCUCAGUAUCCCUCGUAUUCGGUAAGUGGCAUUCAGCCACUCGAGAUUGAGCAACACGGUGCUUUUAAAUGUUGGGGACCAUCUACCACACUGCUUAGCUCAUGUGCAGCCUAGUCCCACGGGUGCUGGGGACUGGUUAAAUGCAUUAAUAACGGGCUUGGAUUGCAGUUACUCCUCAUUCACGAGAAAUUCCCUGUGAGAAAGUAGGACGAAAGUUUGCCUAAGUCCCUGCCCCUAGUACACACUGCCUGUCGCCUUUCAGAUCGACCACUUGGGGUGGGCACUUGGCCCUGAAGAUCUCAGAGAAGAUGGUCUAAAUAAAAGUUGUGGCCGAAUUUCCAUAGGUGGUCUUGCAGAGGGAGCGUUA
rfam:Felis catus isolate Cinnamon breed Abyssinian chromosome A1, whole genome shotgun sequence.